AAAAAAAGUACAGAGAACAACGGGCCGCUCUGUGGCUCCAUUACUGCACUAAAUGCUUGCCUUGUUUACACACAAAAUGUUCCAGAGAACAGUGUGUUAUUUGGCGAGGAAACUAGGGAGGGAAGAUGUCACUCCAUCCAGCAGUACUCAGGGAGCUCCGUGGGUAUGCUGUAGAGGAAACCAGGACGCUGGAAUCCCCCAGAUCUCCUUCACUGAGCCCGCCUCACCCGCUCCGCCCGAGAUCCGGGAUUGUGCGGAUGUGGAUGACGGCCCGGAGUACCUGGCUAUCGGUAAUCUGGGGAAGCACAAACGGCGCGACUCGUCCAGCUCCACUCAGAGCGGUGAGCACAUGGGGACUCAGGGCGACGCCCACACUCCUUCGGCUCCGCCCCUUCCACGCAGCUGCUCCUUUUCAGAGGCUCAGAGAACCACAGGGCGGAGCUCGAGGGGACACAUCCGGUCUCUGUCCGACACCAGCAUCACGCAGAAGCAGAAAAAUGAGUCUGUUGCAGCUGCACCAGUUUCAAAGAGCUGUGGUCCUUUCUCACCCCAGAGCAGCGACAGCAGCACCAAUGGUUCCCUUUAUAUGGAGUCUAGUGAGUGAUGCUUUCUAUCUGUUAAUUUAUUCAAAAAUACACUAAAAGUGCAAUUCAUGCUUACAAUGACCUAAAUACACUACUUCUUUGAAGAGCAUGUUUUUAUGUGAGCAUAAAGUAAAGAUUUUUGGGUGAUACAAGUGUUUUGAAGAUGGAAUACAGCUAAACGGUCAAAAAUGUAUUAACACUUUUGUUUAAUUUAAUAUUUUCUAACUGCUUUAGUGCUUGUUAAUAUUUGAAAACAAUUUUGGCCAUCAAAGUCAUGUGGUACAAACAACACGCUGAAACAUUUGACCAUUUUAAUGACAGAAAGAUUAGUUCAUGUUGUAAAAUGUCAUGUGGUACAACUGUACUGAUUUUGCAGUGACGAAAGAAUGAAAUGAAAAAAUAAAUGAAUGAAACGUAGUUUGACAUGAAAUUUUUUAUAUACAAAUUAUUUGACCACAACUGUUUUACUGCUUAUUUAAAAAUGUUUGUCCAAUUAAUCAAAGUCAUGUGGUGCAACAAAAUUCAUGUGGUACAACAUACUGGAAUAUGCAGGAAAAAACGGUUUCUUAAAAUAUCAAAUAAUUUGACCUUUAUAUGAUGGCAAGAUUAGUUCAGGUUAUGAAAUGUCAUGUGGUACAACUGUCCUGAUAUCAUAAUGAAUAAUGAAAAAAAAAUGUUAUUCUUUAUAAAAAUAUGUUAUCACCACUCCUUCACUGCUUAUUAAUUUUUAAAAACUUCUGUCCAUCUAAUCAAAGUCAUGUGGUACGACCAAAAAAAGUCAUGCAGUGCAACCAACAUACUGAAAUAUGCAGAAAAACCAAGUCUCUUAAAAUAUCAGAUAAUGACCUUUUUAUGAUGGCAAAAUCAGUUCUGGUUGUAAUGUGUCAUGUGGUGCGACUCCCAAAAAGCUGAUAUUUCUUAAUUAGUAAUUUUGCAUAUGUGCAAAAACAACAACAAAAAACAAAACAAAACAAACAAAACAAAACAAAUGCACAGCAAUAAUUAAGACUCAUUACACUCAUUAGACUCAUUAAAUUCUUACUUUUCACUCGAUGGUUACACCACGUUACAUUUUUAUAGUAAUUUAACUGAAACAUUUCUUAAAAAUGGUGUAAAACUUUUCCAAAACCAUACAAAAAAAGGACAAGACGCAAACUACCUCACCUGCGCUCUAGCGUCUUUAUAUAUGGUGUUCAUGACUCACAUUCAUAUCCCAUCACUGCAGGAAAACGCCCACUUCAGCAUCUCGGAGUCUCUGAUCGCAGCCAUCGAGCUGAUGAAGUGUAACAUGCGCAGACCGGUGGAGGAGGGGGAGGAAAGAGGGCGACAGCGACUCGGAAAAUCCAGCAGCUCAAACAGAAAAUCCGUCUGCGCAGACUGCAGAUACGCCACACACGGAUGAAGCCCAUCACUGCAGGAAAACGCCCACUUCAGCAUCUCGGAGUCUCUGAUCGCAGCCAUCGAGCUGAUGAAGUGUAACAUGCGCAGACCGGUGGAGGAGGGGGAGGAAGAGGGCGACAGCGACUCGGAAAUCCAGCAGCUCAAACAGAAAAUCCGUCUGCGCAGACUGCAGAUACGCCACACACGGAUGAAGCCACCGGCCUCCACUAAUAACCGUAUGACUGAGGCGUUUGCAAUUUAGAGGGAAAUUAACUGUAAACAGGAUGUGUGAUUAAUCGCGAUUAAUUGCGUACAAAAUAAAAGUGUUUGUUUGCAUAAUAUAUGUGUGUUCUGUGUAUAUUUAUUAUGUAUAUAUAAAUACACACAGUACAUAUUUUGAAAAUAUUUACAUCUAUAUUUAUAUUCAUGUAAUUUACAUUAUAAAUAAAUACAUUUAAUAUGUAAACAACAUGUUUUUCUUAAAUAUAUACAUGCAUGUGUGUAUUUAUAUGUGCAUAAUAAAUAAACACAUUACACAUACAUGUAUUAUGUAAAGAAAAACUUUUAUUUUGGAUGCGAUUAAUCGCGAUUAAUCAUUUGACAGCACUAAUAUUUAUUGCUUUUU
rnacentral:lncRNA from 1 species